rnacentral:rRNA from 1 species
UACAGAGGUCUCAAGCGUUGUUCGGAUUCAUUGGGCGUAAAGAGCUCGUAGGCGGUUCGGUAAGUCGGGUGUGAAAACUUUGGGCUCAACCCAAAGCGUGCACUCGAUACUGCCAUGACUAGAGUUCGGUAGGGGAGUGGGGAAUUCCUAGUGUAGCGGUGAAAUGCGCAGAUAUUAGGAGGAACACCGGUGGCGAAGGCGGUUCUCUGGGACGGUACUGACGCUGAGACGCGAAAGCGUGGGGAGCGAACAGG